AUGAUCCUAAGGACGAUCCGUGAGGAUCCGACCGUUGGAUCAUCAUAUAAUUUCGAUCCGACCGUUGGAUCGUGAUUGACGGUCUUCCUUGGUGAGCGGUUUUGGCGUGUUUUGUGAAAUUGAAGGCGUAGCGGGAUUAGAGCGGGUAGUCCUGCAAGUCAGGAGGAUCAUGGCAGAGAGCGUGCGGAUUAGAGUAUUUGUUUUUGUUAUUCAGCCUUGUAAAUUGUGAGGUGAGUGACGCUCAAUUGGAGCUUUACAAAUUACUUUGUAUAAGUGAGUGUAUAAGUGAGUUGUAUUAUGUAAUUUGAGGUUUUUAAGAUUUGAAACUUGAGUGGCGUGAGUUGUAGUGGUUUAUUCAUGUUUCGGAUUUUGAAUUAGUUAUUCAAAAUUCGGGGCGUG
rnacentral:lncRNA from 1 species